rnacentral:lncRNA from 1 species
AUAUACUGCAUUUCUUUGCCUUCUUGGUUUCACUUUUUUAAACAACUCUUCCUUAAAAAAUUAGAAUCCUGAUAAGAACAUGAUACAACAUUAUGUGCUGCUGUGAUUUAACUAAAUACAAUAACAAGUCUGAGCAGCAACAUAAAUAAGGACUCUAAUUUUACUUAAGCAAAAAUACCCAUGAGUAAAACUGAAAAUUUUAAGACUGAGGAAAGAACUGAGUUCAUGUUUUUUAUGAAAAAAAAGUUUAGUUUCCAGAUCUACUUAUGUUGCAUUAAUGAACAGUAGCUGCUCAGCAAAAUAAAUGCAGAAAUUCAUUAAAGUUGGAGGAAAAUAGCAAUAUCUUAGUUAAUUUUCUUUGGGAAGUGAUUCCUUCUGACUAUAGAUGUUGUGCAAUAGUUCUGCUACUCUGUGGUGCUCCAGAAAGCUGAAAAUCUGAGAUUUACCUGUGCUGAUUCACAUGACCUGUAGUCAGUAUUUAUCAACAAAGACCUGCCAGUUGUCCCUUGAUCUGGAGGAAACCCAAAGCAGUCAGAAGGAAAUGCUUCUCAAAGGUGUUCAGAGCUGACAGUGCUGCAGAUGUGCAUGAAGUGGUGCUUCCAGCCCCUGGCCAAUGCAAUCCCAGUGCCCAGGAAUCCCCAGGAAUCCCCAGUCUGCCCCUGAAUGGGAGCUUCAUCCCCUCAGUGAAACACUUCCCCAGAUAAUAAUCUGUGUUCAGCACAAGCUUCUGCAUGAUCCAGGCUGUUUGAUCAGGC